rnacentral:rRNA from 1 species
CCUACGGGGGGCAGCAGUGAGGAAUAUUGGUCAAUGGACGCAAGUCUGAACCAGCCAUGCCGCGUGCAGGAAGACGGCUCUAUGAGUUGUAAACUGCUUUUGUACGAGGGUAAACGCAGAUACGCGUAUCUGUCUGAAAGUAUCGUACGAAUAAGGAUCGGCUAACUCCGUGCCAGCAGCCGCGGUAAUACGGAGGAUUCAAGCGUUAUCCGGAUUUAUUGGGUUGAAAGGGUGCGUAGGCGGUCGGAUAAGUUAGAGGUGAAAUCCCGAGGCUCAACUUCGGAAUUGCCUCUGAUACUGUUCGGCGAGAGAGUAGUUGCGGUAGGCGGAAUGUAUGGUGUAGCGGUGAAAUGCUUAGAGAUCAUACAGAACACCGAUUGCGAAGGCAGCUUACCAAGCUACUUCUGACGUUGAGGCACGAAAGCGUGGGGAGCAAACAGGAUUAGAUACCCGUGUAGUC